CCUACGGGGAGGCAGCAGUCGAGAGGCUUCGGCAAUGGGGGAAACCCCUGACCGAGCGACGUCGCGUGGGUGAUGAAGAUCUUCGGAUCGUAAAACCCUGUCAGGUGGGAUGAAAUGUCACAUGGUGAACAACCACGUGGCUUGACAGUACCACCAGAGGAAGCUCCGGCCAACUCCGUGCCAGCAGCCGCGGUAACACGGGGGGGGCGAGCGUUGUUCGGAAUCAUUGGGCGUAAAGAGCUCGUAGGUGGCUCCGUAAGUCAAUGGUGAAAGGUCAUGGCUCAACCAUGGAUACGCCUUUGAAACUGCGGAACUUGAGAUCGGGAGAGAAAAGUGGAAUUCCUGGAGUAGCGGUGAAAUGCGUAGAUAUCAGGAGGAACACCAGUGGCGAAGGCGGCUUUCUGGCCCGAUUCUGACACUGAGGAGCGAAAGCCAGGGGAGCAAACGGGAUUAGAUACCCCGGUAGUCCUGGCCCUAAACGAUGGGCACUAGGCGUGGGAAGUUCGACCCUUUCCGUGCCGCAGUUAACGCAUUAAGUGCCCCGCCUGGGAAGUACGGCCGCAAGGUUGAAACUCAAAGGAAUUGACGG
rnacentral:rRNA from 1 species